UGGCAUUGUUCGAAAGUGUGGGGAUCUCCACAGCGAACGCAUCUCAACUUCGAUCUACAAUGAGCAAUGCCAUGACCAAACAUUUGGCAUCUGUAACACCUGGGAACGAGUGGGAUAUAUUAUAACGAGACUCUGAAUGUCUGAAAAAACAUAGAAACCUUUUCUGGAAGUUCUGAGUUAAAAGUCAAGAUGACACUUCUAGUCGGAAAGUACUCUGGCUGAUUUGUUUCGUUUUCAUUUCCUUUGUUUUCUUUUCUUUUCUUCAUGAUUCUUUUAACUGCUAUAACUUUUUGGCAUUUCAGCUCUUGUUCUAUCUCUUUCUCUGUCAUGUCUACCGGGAUCCCUGAAAUGACACCUUCUACACCCACGAUCUUCUCUUGUACUUUAACUGGAAUGUUAACGAUUGAUUGGAUUUGGUUAAGGUUUCGAUGUUGUUUUGGGGUCUUGCACUGAACAAGAAUUCCGGAGUACGUGUGUUUGAUAAACUCAAUCAUGGGUGUUUGUCCCACACAUUCUUUGAUCGAUGUAGCUAUUGCUUUAGGGGUUACGUUCUUUAAGGAUUUGGUCUUAUCUAUUGGGACUAUCAGGGUUUUCAAAAGUUGGGUGCUAUGGAUGGAAGUGGUGCGGUUAGAGGAGGGAGUUUUGUAGUCAGUAUUUCGUGAGGUGUCUGAAUCUGAACUGGUCGAGGAGUCCGUUCUGAGGGAGAUAGAUUCUACAGUCAGACUUCCUUCACGUUUUCGUUUAUUUUGGCGUUUCUUGCCAUACGUGACUGUCCGAAACUCCUCGUCCAGGUUGAAACUGUCGACCUCCGGAGCGGAAGUCGUCAUGAUUGGGUGUUAGGGGGAGGCGGGAAAAUCAAAUCCCGCCGUGCGUGUGUGUUAGAGGGUAGAGAUCUUAUCUGGUGGAGGAGAUGUAUAUGAUCUGGUAGAUGUAGCUGAUCAUGUGACCCUCCAGACUCAUCUCAACGCCGCCAGUGACAAGAAUGCCUGUUUAGCACGUUCAUCAAGAUAUUCGUUUGUAUGUCAAAUGAUCAUGUCCCGGUCUCUACGCAGAAGAAUGCCAUUUCAAGGAACAGAAUGCAAGCCUUUUCAUAUAGACGGUCGAUUCCUUCAUCCCGAGGGAGAUGUAAAAUCUGGAGAUGAGGGUGUGUUCCUGGCCCUAUGUACCCCUAUAGACACCAGUAUAGACACCUCCAUGUAUCAUGCCCCGAUCGCCGAGUUUACCACCAAACAUACCUUAGAUAUGCGGAUUAUUGACUCAUGU